UACGAAGGGGGGCUAGCGUUGCUCGGAAUCACUGGGCGUAAAGGGUGCGUAGGCGGGUCUUUAAGUCAGGGGUGAAAUCCUGGAGCUCAACUCCAGAACUGCCUUUGAUACUGAGGAUCUUGAGUACGGGAGAGGUGAGUGGAACUGCGAGUGUAGAGGUGAAAUUCGUAGAUAUUCGCAAGAACACCAGUGGCGAAGGCGGCUCACUGGCCCGUAACUGACGCUGAGGCACGAAAGCGUGGGGAGCAAACGGG
rnacentral:rRNA from 1 species